AGAUAAAAAGACAAGAAAGUCAAAACCCGAAAAGCGACGAGCUAACUACUUCUGCUUACAAGAGCCUGAACCUACUGUUGCAAUAGUAGUAGAAAAGGAGUAGUUAGGAGUGAUAUGCUAAACGAGUUGCUUGAUAGCUGGUUUUCAGGGAAACAGGUUUUAGCCUCUCCCCUCUACGAAUAAACAUCAUAUUCGAUAAACUCUUCAACAACUCAGGAGGAGGAAAGAGAACAAGGGAUAAGCCUUGUUCUCAAAAGGGAAACAACCCUAAGCGUAGUAAAGGUAGAAUAAUAGUAAAACAUCAAAGUAGGCCUAACAGCUGCCAUCCAACUAGAAAGCGUUAAAGCUCAACCCCCAAAUUACCCAAACCACAAGAACAACCAAACCUCACCAAGAGUACCUGAAAAAAAUAAUGUUAAGACAAGUAAAACGAUAACCCCUCCCCCUAUAAAGGAUACCAAAUCAUAGGGCAUAAAUCGAGAGUCCCUAACACUAGAAUUCCUCAACCCAGACAUAGAGAGGGAAGGAGAAAUAGCGAGGAAGGAACUCGGCCAACAAGGAGAAGGACUGUUUACCAAAAACAUAGCCUCCCGCAGAAAUUGGAGGUCAUGCCUGCCCAGUGGACGGAUCAGUCUAAACGGCCGCGGUAUCUUGACCGUGCCAAGGUAGCAUAAUCAUUUGUCUUUUAAAUGGAGACUCGUAUGAACGGCAAAACCUUUUCCAACUGUCUCCCCCGCUAUCCUUAGAAACUCCUAUCUAGGUGAAGAAACCUAGAUAACCCAGAAAGACGAGAAGACCCUGUCGAGCUUCAGUCCAAAAGGAUUAAACAGUAACGAAAGCUACAAGCAUCAAGAUAACAAUCCCAGAAGACUUUGGUUGGGGCAACCAUGGAGAAAAAGAAUACUCCAGUACGCGCAGAAGACACCACGUCACCACACAAGAACAAAAUGAGAACCAGAAACUGGCAAUCGGAAAAAGUUACCGCAGGGAUAACAGCGUAAUCUUCUCUAAGAGUCCUUAUUGACGAGAGGGUUUGCGACCUCGAUGUUGGAUUGGGACCUCCAUAGGGUGCAGAAGCUCUAAAGGGUUGGACUGUUCGUCCAUUAAAGUCCU
rnacentral:rRNA from 1 species